AGUGAACGCUGGCGGCGUGCCUAAUACAUGCAAGUCGAACGAAGUGGCGCACGGGUGAGUAAUAUAUAGUUAAUCUGCCCUACACAGAGGAACUACAGUUGGAAACGACUGCUAAUACCUCAUAGUGUAGGAUGGGACUAUAUCGUAUCAGCUAGUUGGUAAGGUAAUGGCGUACCAAGGCUAUGACGCGUAACUGGUCUGAGAGGAUGAGCAGUAAAAUUGGAAGUGAGGCACGGUCGAGAAACCUACGGGAAGCGGCAGAAGGGAAUAUUACGCAAGGGGCGAGACCCUAAAAGGGCAACGCCGCGUGAAGGAUGACACGUUUCGAAGAGUAAACUCCGUUUAUCAGGAAAGCGGUACCUGAUGAAUAAGCACCGGCUAACUCCGUGCCAGCAGCCGCGGUAAUAC
rnacentral:rRNA from 1 species